AUUGAACGCUGGCGGAAUGCUUUACACAUGCAAGUCGAACGGUAGAGGGGGCAACCCCUCGAGAGUGGCGAACGGGUGAGUAAUAUAUCGGAACGUGCCCAGCCGUGGGGGAUAACGUAGCGAAAGUUACGCUAAUACCGCCUACGAUCUAAGGAUGAAAGCGGGGGAUCGCAAGACCUCGCGCGAUUGGAGCGGCCGAUAUCAGAUUAGGUAGUUGGAGGGGUAAAGGCUCACCCAGCCAACGAUCUGUAGCUGGUGUGAGAGGACGACCAGCAACACUGGAACUGAGACACGGUCAAGACUCCUACGGGAGGCAGCAGGGGGGAAUUUUGUACAAUGGACGAAAGUCUGAUCCAGCCAUUCCGCGUGCAGGAUGAAGGCCCUCGGGUUGUAAACUGCUUCUGUACGGAACAAAAGGUCUCUCUUAAUACGGGGGACUCAUGACGGUACCGUAAGAAUAAGCACCGGCUAACUACGUGCCAGCCGCCGCCGUAACAC
rnacentral:rRNA from 1 species